rnacentral:lncRNA from 1 species
GUUCCCGUAAUGGAUCUGAGCGUGAAAGAUCAACAAAUCAUCAAGACUGUUAUCCAGUUUAUUGUAGCCUUGGGUAUUUGUCCCAACCUUUUUGAAGGAGUAGGUGCAGCCUCUACACAAAGAACUGGUUUUGGUGAUGCUUUGUGUGCUGAGCAAGAGAUCAAGUGUCCGCAAUGUUUGUAUAAGUGUGCAUAAUGGUCUUAGUUAAUUGUCUUGACGAGCCCUCAUUAAGCGGAGAGAUGUUGUGCUGAUGUUAAGUUUGGCUAACUCUGGCUUCAGUGUAUAAUACCUGCGUGGUUCGAUUCAUUGUGGCGAGGAAUAGAAUGGUUGCAGUAGGUUUGUCGACUUUCUCUACAAGUGCCGUCCCAAACUUCGAAGUUAUGUAUUUGAAAUUAAAUCAAAGUUGGAUUUUAUAUGCAAUCAAAUGGGAAUAACAAUUGAAUGUGCUAUUAAAAUGCCCAUAAACACGCUGUGUUUCUUGUUGUGGAAUGAAAAUUUAGCUACAGAAGAAUUCAGGGUGAUUCAUCGAGAUUAUGGUCUGCAUGUCAUUGGGAUCUAACCUGGAUUACCAUACUGCGCUGGUAUACCAAACAAGUAUAUGAAGGUCUGAAAACUUAACACGAGUUCCCGUAAUGGAUCUGAGCGUGAAAGAUCAACAAAUCAUCAAGACUGUUAUCCAGUUUAUUGUAGCCUUGGGUAUUUGUCCCAACCUUUUUGAAGGAGUAGGUGCAGCCUCUACACAAAGAACUGGUUUUGGUGAUGCUUUGUGUGCUGAGCAAGAGAUCAAGUGUCCGCAAUGUUUGUAUAAGUGUGCAUAAUGGUCUUAGUUAAUUGUCUUGACGAGCCCUCAUUAAGCGGAGAGAUGUUGUGCUGAUGUUAAGUUUGGCUAACUCUGGCUUCAGUGUAUAAUACCUGCGUGGUUCGAUUCAUUGUGGCGAGGAAUAGAAUGGUUGCAGUAGGUUUGUCGACUUUCUCUACAAGUGCCGUCCCAAACUUCGAAGUUAUGUAUUUGAAAUUAAAUCAAAGUUGGAUUUUAUAUGCAAUCAAAUGGGAAUAACAAUUGAAUGUGCUAUUAAAAUGCCCAUAAACACGCUGUGUUUCUUGUUGUGGAAUGAAAAUUUAGCUACAGAAGAAUUCAGGGUGAUUCAUCGAGAUUAUGGUCUGCACGUCAUUGGGAUCUAACCUGGAUUACCAUACUGCGCUGGUAUACCAAACAAGGAGAUGUGAACUAGUGAAGAGUCUUCAAAUAGUAAGUGUGUUAGUGACACUGGGCUAUAUUCCGAGCAAUAGUAUAGUUCAGUGAUCAGUGAGUGUAAGUUGUGUAGCCAAAACAAACAAAAUGAACAAACGCCAUGAAGUGUAAUAAAGACAAAAGUUCGGUGGUUGCC